rnacentral:lncRNA from 1 species
GGAGCAUAUAUUUUCGUCUCCAAUCAGGCACGCCACGUGGAAAAGAAGAUGAUCUCUUAAAUUAAUUAAUUAAACCAGUUUAUCUGGCUAAUUAAUUAAUUGGGAUAAAUAUCUUAAUUAAUAUGAUAUUAUCUUUAUUUAAAGAGAUAAUAUCAUUAAUUAAGAUAUUAUCCUAAUAAAGAGAAGAUAAUAUCAUUUAAUUUAGAUAUUAUCUUCUUAAGAGAUAAUAUCAUUUAAUUCAUAUAUUAUCUUCUUAAGAGAUAAUAUAUUUAAUUUGGAUAUUAUCAAGUCCGACUCGAUCCCUACGAAACCCUAGCCCCGAGGCUCCUAUAAAUAGACGACCUCAUUCAUCAUUCAAGGUACAUCUAAACCUACUCCUUAUACCCCGAGAAAAAUACCCAAAGCUCUCUCUCCCUCUCCACUCUCCAUAUUUUCUCCACACGGCUCCGGCCACCACAUAAGGCUCCCGCCAUCCGGUUUACACCAUACAUACAACUCCGUACCCUUUGCUUAGCUAUUGUUUUCCUACAAACACUCGAACUAACUUAGGCAUCGGAGGGCCUUUGGCCAACAC